CCUACGGGAGGCUGCAGUGAGGAAUAUUGGUCAAUGGACGAGAGUCUGAACCAGCCAAGUAGCGUGAAGGAUGACUGCCCUAUGGGUUGUAAACUUCUUUUAUAUGGGACUAAAAUGUUCCACGUGUGGGAUUUUGUAUGUACCAUAUGAAUACGGAUCGGCUAACUCCGUGCCAGCAGCCGCGGUAAUACGGAGGUGCCGAGCGUUAUCCGGAUUUAUUGGGUUUAAAGGGAGCGUAGGUGGAUUGUUAAGUCAGUUGUGAAAGUUUGCGGCUCAACCGUAAAAGUGCAGUUGAAACUGGCAGUCUUGAGUACAGAAGAGGUGGGCGGAAUUCGUGGUGUAGCGGUGAAAUGCUUAGAUAUCACGAAGAACUCCGAUUGCGAAGGCAGUUCACUGGACUGCAACUGACACUGAGGCUCGAAAGUGUGGGUAUCAAACAGGAUUAGAUACCCGGGUAGUC
rnacentral:rRNA from 1 species